rnacentral:lncRNA from 1 species
AAAAGCCCCAGUGAUUCUUAAAAUAAGUAUCAUUCACUUUGUUACAAUCUCUAGCUCAAAUACAAAGCAAAGUAGUCAAAAUGAAGUGCAUUGCUCUUGCCCUAGUUCUUUUCGCCGCAGCUGCUGUUGCUGAACCCAGCUACAGAUACGGCUAUGCUCCUUAUGGUCAUGGGUAUGCUCACCACGGAUACGGCAUUGGACACCAUUAUGGAAAGAGAUCCGCUGAGCCUGAAGCUGAGCCUUCUUAUGG